AGUGAACGCUGGCGGCAGGCCUAACACAUGCAAGUCGAACGGCAGCACGGCAGUAGCAAUACUGUGGGUGGCGAGUGGCGGACGGGUGAGGAAUACAUCGGGAUCUACCCUGUUGUGGGGGAUAACGUAGGGAAACUUACGCUAAUACCGCAUAAGAACUGAGGUUGAAAGCGGCGGACCGCAAGGCGUCGCGCGAUUGGAUGAACCGAUGUCCGAUUAGCUAGUUGGCGGGGUAAAGGCCCACCAAGGCGACGAUCGGUAGCUGGUCUGAGAGGACGACCAGCCACACUGGAACUGAGACACGGUCCAGACUCCUACGGGAGGCAGCAGUGGGGAAUAUUGCGCAAUGGGGGGAAACCCUGACGCAGCCACGCCGCGUGAGUGAUGAAGGCCUUCGGGUUGUAAAGGCUCUGUCGGGAGGGACGGAAGGGGAAACCCGUAGACGGUACCUCGCAAGAAGCACCGGCUAACUCUGUGCCAGCAGCCGCGGU
rnacentral:rRNA from 1 species